GACGAACGCUGGCGGCGCGCCUAACACAUGCAAGUCGAGCGAUGAAAUUUUAACCGAUCUCUUCGGAGAGAAGAUAAAAUGGAUUAGCGGCGGACGGGUGAGUAACACGUGAGAAACCUGCCUUUCACAAGGGGAUAGCCUCGGGAAACCGGGAUUAAUACCCUAUGACACAUUUCCUUCGCAUGGAAGAAAUGUUAAAACUCCGGUGGUGAAAGAUGGUCGCGCGCCUGAUUAGCUAGUUGGUGGGGUAACGGCCCACCAAGGCCAUGAUCAGUAACCGGCCUGAGAGGGUGAACGGUCACAUUGGAACUGAGACACGGUCCAAACUCCUACGGGAGGCAGCAGUGGGGAAUAUUGCACAAUGGAGGAAACGCUGAUGCAGCGACGCCGCGUGAGCGAUGAAGGCUUUCGAGUCGUAAAGCUCUGUCCUAUGGGAAGAUAAUGACGGUACCAUAGGAGGAAGCCCCGGCUAACUACGUG
rnacentral:rRNA from 1 species